rnacentral:rRNA from 1 species
UACGAAGGGGGGCUAGCGUUGCUCGGAAUUACUGGGCGUAAAGCGCACGUAGGCGGCUCUUUAAGUCGGGGGGUGAAAUCCUGGAGCUCAACUCCAGAACUGCCUUCGAUACUGGGAGGCUUGAAUCCGGGAGAGGGAUGUGGAAUUCCAGGUGUAGCGGUGAAAUGCGUAGAUAUCUGGAGGAACACCGGUGGCGAAGGCGGCAUCCUGGACCGGUAUUGACGCUGAUGCGCGAAAGCCAGGGGAGCAAACGGG